UUUAGAGUUCUCUCAAGCCCUUCUCAUUUUUUCCGUCUUCCUGAUUUUCUUUCAAUCUCAAUUAUAGAGUCGAGACUGCGUCAAUGAGGCUACAGGUAACAUAAAAGUCGUAACAGUUUGGUAUUGAACAGAGUUCAACCAGCCUCAUGUUUUCAUAUCCAUGCCGGUUCUGAUGAAUGCUUCCGUUCCCAGAUAACAAGUUUCUUAUCAUAGCCUCCUGUUUUUUUUUUUAAUAACUAAAGAAUAGCAUGAAAUCGCCAAAAGAUGACGGGAAGGAGUAGAUACAAAUCUGCAAAACACUCAGGUUUAGCAAAAGAAAACAAACGAGGAGGAGAAGACCAAGGAAACCACACAAAAAACAGAGCAACAGAUCAUCAAUCAAUCCUGUUGCUACCCAAUCAAUCCUGCCACCAAUGUUUUUGUUCAGAAACCUGUAAUAAGUGAAGUGCAUUGGCUUUCAUCUUCUCUACUAACUUCUCCUUAUUAACAGCAACAACACACCUCUGCAGCAGCAGCAGCACCACAGGAUCCUCACUCUCGUCAGCAACCAUUCUGAAUUAACACCUCUAACGGCUACUAUUCAGAAUGGUAAUUAACCAUACAUGGAAAUCACAGGAAUCAACAGCUACCUCAACCAACGGCUACUUCUCAAAGAAGGAAACUACAGCCAUGGCAGAUCUUUCAUAGAAGGAAACUACAGCUACCUCAUAUCAGAAACAAAUCAAUAUAUAUAAAUAAGGAAUAUUGUAUUCAUAGAAAGAAAUAAGUGAUGAAGUUAAUUACUACUCUAUAUAUAAAGAGUAUCCUGCACAAAUUAGUAUUAGUGCUCACGUUUGUAUUCUUGACAGUAAAUGCAGUAAACUCAUAUUCUUCAUCUACUGCGUUCCCUUGUUCAGCUUUCUUCUCUUGGUAUCAGAGCGUGAGUGAGCACACACAUAUCAAACACAAUUACAUAUUUCACAAUGACUUCGUUGUCUCUCAAUGUUGGCAACUUUAUUACCCUCAAACUUAACCAAACAAACUACCCAUUAUGGAGAGAACAAGCUCUGGCUCUUGCAGAAAGUCAGGAGCUAGUUGAGCAUCUCACCAAUGAAGAUCCUGCACCAGCAAAAUACAACACACAAGAUUCAAUCAACAACCUGCACACAGAAAAUACAGCACCAGUCCUAACAGAAGCCUUCAUCACUUGGAGAAAAUCUGACCGACUCCUUCGAGGUUGGAUUAUUGGAACCUUGUCUGAAGAAGCACUUAGUCUUGUUGUUGGACUAGAAACAGCAUCUGCUGUUUGGGAAGCACUGAAGAAUGCGUAUGCUAAGGAUUCACAAGAACGUGAAUUUACACUUCGUCAGCAGGUUACCUACUUUCAUAAACAUGAAAAUCAAUCCAUGGAAGAGCAUAUCCGCACCUUUAAAAGCUUGUGUGACAGCCUUGCAGCAAUUGGAAAACCAGUUUCAGACAAUGAAAAGGUUUUUUGUCUUCUCACCAGCCUUGGUCCACAAUAUGAAAACUUCACAACAACCAUGUUGAAGCCUCCAAGACCAUCCUAUUCAGAGCUGGUUUCACAGCUUCAAAAUUUUGAUCAACGCCGAACUUGGUUCUCCUCUCAUACAGAUAUAACAAACACACAGUUUCCACAACAACUUGCUUUUUAUGGACAACAACAGCAACGCCAUCAGCAGAGAACACAGCAGCCUUCCUCAGCACGCAGCACAUAUCAGUUCACAUCUAGUGGCAGAGGAUUUCAAGCCCAGCAAUCCAGAGAUCAAAACAGAAGGUAUUUUAAUCCCACUCAACAACCCAUUCAACAACGCCGACCUCCACCACCAGGAGAACGUCGCAUGACUCAAACAGAACGAGAUUUGUAUCGUGAAGACAAAUGCCAAUAUUGUGGCACAACCGGUCACAUUGCUAAAAUAUGCUGGUGGAUACCUAAACAAAAUACUACUCAGGACACUGAAAUCCCACAAGCACUAGCAGCCCUUACGCUAGACAACACCGUGGUUGACACGGAAUGGACAUCAGACACUGGUGCAUCGAAUCACAUGACAAGUAAGCCAGGUAUGUUAACUGAUGUUCGUAAGUAUUUUGGAACUGAUUCUGUGGUUAUUGGAAAUGGAUCGUCUCUACCGAUUGUUGGUAUUGGAGAUUCAUUUAUUAAACAAAACAAUACUAAAUUACCUAUUAAUGAUGUUCUUCUUGUUCCUGAAUUAACUAAAAAUUUACUAUCAGUAAGUCAGCUUACCAAACAAUUUCCUGUGAACUGUGAGUUUUCUGACGUUGAUUUUUGUGUUAAGGAACGGAAAACAGGACAACCUCUGAUCACAGGUAGACGUAAGGGUGAUCUUUAUGUCUUGCACAACUCGCCAGAAUUACAUUUUUCUUAUCGUUUUAAAACUGGAUCAGCAGCAAUUUGGCAUCAACGCCUAGGACACCCUCAAGCUUCUGCAGUGCAGCUAUUAAAAAAUAAAGGAUUGAUUGACGUCACAGGAGCUAUGAAGACUGAGCACCUUUGUGAUAGUUGUCAAUUAGGAAAACUUAGCAAAUUACCUUUUUCGCAUUCUGAACAUUCAAGUACUGAUGUUUUUUGAAAAAAUACAUUGUGAUUUAUGGGGACCUGCCCCUGUUUUAUCUAUUGGAAAAUUCAAAUAUUAUGCUUGCCUAGUAGAUGAUUUCUCUAAAUAUACAUGGAUAAUUCCUCUUCAUAACAAAUCUGAUUUUCUAACAGUGUUUAUAGCAUUUGAAAAGUAUGUUAGUAGGCAAUUUAAUAAACAGAUCAAAGUCUUUCACUCAGAUGGAGGAGGAGAAUUUAUUAACUCAAAAUUAUCAAGUCAUUUUCGCUCCACAGGAAUUGUUCACCAGGUAUCUUGUCCUUACACUCCUGAACAAACAGGUAUGGUUGAAAGGCGACACAGAAUUAUAAGAGAACUAGGUAUGACAAUGUUAUUCCAUAGUGGUACUCCUUUAUUUUUAUGGGUUGAAGCCUUCACAACUGCUGUUUAUCUCAUUAAUAGACUGCCCUCUUCUGCUCUUAACUCUGACACUCCAUACUUCCGCUUACAUGGUAACCACCCUAUUUAUUCAUCUCUUCGUAUUUUUGGCUCCCGAUGUUUCCCUUACACUUGGGACACAAGACGAAAUAAAUUUGAUCCCAAAAGUGUUCCAUGUAUUUUUGUAGGAUAUAGUGAUCAACAUAAGGGAUAUAAAUGCUUUCAUCCAACAAGCAAAAAAUUUUUUGUCUCACGACAUGUGGUUUUUAGUGAAUCUAUCCUUCCGUAUAAACAAAAUAAUAUCACCACAAAUAUUGAUCACUCUAAUCAUGUCCUUAGCAUAUUUGAUUCUUGGCUAACUAUCCCUGCUUCACGCUCUCCUGCAGAUAUCUCUGAAACACCAGCAACGCCACCAUGCAGCAGCUCACUGCCCAUACCCCUGCUUCCUACUAUGACCUCAGAUACACCAGCGUGCUUUACAGAUAUUUCUCCAGCUGAUGUUGCUCUGCAACUCCAUGGUGACAGUACUCCAGCCCGCCAACAGCUUCAGCAGCGGUAUGGCACUUCAAUUACUCAGCCGGAGACAUUCCAGCAGGAGACAGUGUGCUUUACAGAUAUUUCUCCCGCUGAUGUUGCUCUGCAACUCCAUGGUGACAGUAUUCCAGCCCGUCAACAGCUUCAGCAGCAGUCUGACACUUCAAUUACUCAGCCGGAGACAUUCCAGCAGGAGACAGUGCACACUUCUUCACCUGAUAUCACUAACUCUGCGGCUGUACAAUCCCUUCAUGAUCUCUCUAAUUCUGGUUCUCCCACUGAUCCAUCUAUAGAACCCUCUUCCUCACUACAACACCAUAGUUCAGAGAAUGAUAUUCAGCAGGUGGCAACUCCCACUCAGCAGGAGAUUGCCCACAAUCUCUGCCCUGAUAUUUCCCAGCAACCACUCUCUGAGAACUUAACUACUCUGCAGCAGCAUGACCAACCAAAUUCGGCUCCUCACUCUAUGGUUACUCGUUCACAACGUGUGUUACACCAAGCUGCACAACCUCCUUGUAGUGAUGCCUCCGCAUACGAGUUUGUUCCCAAUUCCUCUACUUCAGCUCUUCGCACCAUGACCACUCGGUCUCAGCAUGGCAUCAUAAAACCAAAUCCCAAGUAUGCAUUAACAUCUGUCAUCUCUGCUGGAAUACCGCAUGAACCGCGAUCUGUGCGAGCUGCACUAGCUCAUCCAGGAUGGAAAGCAGCAAUGGAGGAUGAACUUACAUCCUUACACCAAAAUCAGACAUGGAAAUUGGUACCUCGUACCACCGAUAUGCAUAUCAUAGGUUCCAAAUGGGUGUUUAAAACCAAACUCAAAUCUGAUGGCAGCUUGGAGCGUCUCAAAGCCCGUGUUGUUGCCAAAGGAUACCACCAGAUUGAUGGCCUAGACUACACUGAAACAUUCUCUCCCGUUGUAAAGCCUGGCACCAUUCGGCUAAUUAUCACUAUAGCUCUUGUUCAUCAUUGGCCCCUACGGCAGCUUGAUGUGAAAAAUGCGUUUCUGCAUGGUUUGAUUUCUGAAAAUCUCUACAUGGAACAGCCACCAGGACUGUCAGAUCCUCAACGUCCACAGCAUGUCUGCAAGCUCCAACGUGCCCUCUAUGGCCUUAAACAAGCACCUCGUGCUUGGUUUGAUCGUUUUAGUUCCUUUCUCCUCAAAUACGGUUUCCUUUGCAGCUUGGCAGAUCCUUCUCUAUUUACUUUUCAUUCUGAUCAUGGUUCUCUUAUUCUCCUACUUUAUGUUGAUGAUAUACUUCUUACAGGAACUAUAGAUACCCUUGUUGCAGACUUCAUUACUCUACUCAGUCAAGAAUUUGCCAUGAAGGACUUAGGCCCUGCUCAUCAUUUUCUUGGCAUCGAAAUUUCGCCCACGCCAAAUGGACUUCAUUUAUCACAAUCACAUUAUGCCUUUACAAUUCUAGAACGUGCUGAAAUGGUUGACUGUAAACCCAUGACUACACCACUUGAAGCACGAACUAAAGCCUCCUCCAAUGCUCCUCCUUUAGCGGAUGUCAGUUUCUUCCGGGGGCUUGUUGGCUCCCUCCAGUAUCUCACCCUUACUCGACCAGAUCUCUCUUUUAGUGUUAAUUAUGUCUCUCAAUUCAUGCAUGCUCCUACAACUGUUCACUUAAAAAUGGUCCGCCGUAUCUUACGAUAUGUCAAAGGUACUAUUAAUAAUGGUCUGCACUUCACUUCUAAUACUAAUCUUAAUUUCUCUGCUUUUUCAGAUGCUGAUUGGGCUGGCUGUCUUACUACACGACGUUCAACCACUGGCUACUGUGUCUUCCUUGGAUGUAAUCUCAUCUCCUGGUGUGCCAAGAAACAACAUACUAUUUCACGCUCUAGCACUGAAGCUGAAUAUCGUGCUAUGGCCAACACGGCUGCAGAACUUACCUGGUUGACCUACAUCCUUCAUGAUUUACACAUUCCCUUACUAUCUCCACCAGUGCUCUAUUGUGAUAAUCUCAGUGCGCUCCAUAUGACGGUCAAUCCUGUUUUCCAUGCUCGCAGCAAGCAUAUUGAACUUGAUUAUCAUUUUAUACGCGAACGCGUAGCUCUUGGGAAACUUAUUACACAUCAUAUUCCCACUACACAUCAGAUUGCUGAUCUGUUUACUAAGCCGGUGUCCAAAGCUACUCUUCUUCGUUUUCAGCGCAAACUUUGCCUCCAACCUCGGCAACGUUUGAGGGAGGGUAUUAACAGCAACAACACACCUCUGCAGCAGCAGCAGGAGACAGCAGCAGCAGCACCACAGGAUCCUCACUCUCGUCAGCAACCAUUCUGAAUUAACACCUCCAACGGCUACUAUUCAGAAUGGUAAUUAACCAUACAUGGAAAUCACAGGAAUCAACAGCUACCUCAACCAACGGCUACUUCUCAAAGAAGGAAACUACAGCCAUGGCAGAUCUUUCAUAGAAGGAAACUACAGCUACCUCA
rnacentral:lncRNA from 1 species